rnacentral:lncRNA from 1 species
GUGCGUAUUGUUAUGCGUUUACUUUUCUACAUUGGUUAGAGGUAUAGGGGGAGGGUUGAGAUCUCACAAACAUGUUUAACCCCGCUGCAUUUUUGCGCCUGUCAGGAGCCUCUGGCCUUUGUUAGUCUUGUAUUAUUUUUAAUUUUAGUUUCUUGUGUACAAUUUGGAAAUUAGUAUGGCGUUCAUUAUCACUGGACUGGUAUAUAUUUGUUUAGGGGCCAGCUGAAGGACGCCUCCGGGUGCGGGAAUUUCUCGCUACAUUGAAGACCUGUUGGUGACCCUCUGCUGUUGUUUUUUAUUUGGUCGGGUUGUUGUUUCUUUGACACAUUCCCCAUUUCCAUUCUC